GAUGAACGCUAGCGGCAGGCCUAAUACAUGCAAGUCGAACGGUAGAUCGGGUAGCAAUACUUGAUUGAGAGUGACGUAAGGGUGCGUAACACGUAUGCAAUCUACCCUCAACAGGAGUAUAGCUCGGGGGAAACUCGGAUUAACACUCCAUAACAUUACGAUGUGGCAUCACAUUGUGAUUAAAACUCCGGUGGUUGAGGAUGAGCAUGCGUCUGAUUAGUUAGUUGGAGGUGUAACGGACCCCCAAGACGAUGAUCAGUAGGGGAACUGAGAGGUUGAUCCCCCACACUGGCACUGAGAUACGGGCCAGACUCCUACGGGAGGCAGCAGUAGGGAAUAUUGGUCAAUGGGUGAGAGCCUGAACCAGCCAUGCCGCGUGCAGGAAGACGGCCUUCUGGGUUGUAAACUGCUUUUAUCUGGGGAUAAAAAGCCCAUGCGUGGGACAUUGAAGGUACCAGAUGAAUAAGCACGGCUAACAACGUGCCAG
rnacentral:rRNA from 1 species